UGGGGGAAUAUUGCACAAUGGGCGCAAGCCUGAUGCAGCCAUGCCGCGUGUGUGAAGAAGGCCUUCGGGUUGUAAAGCACUUUCAGCGAGGAGGAAGGUGGUGAGCUUAAUACGCUCAUCAAUUGACGUUACUCGCAGAAGAAGCACCGGCUAACUCCGUGCCAGCAGCCGCGGUAAUACGGAGGGUGCAAGCGUUAAUCGGAAUUACUGGGCGUAAAGCGCACGCAGGCGGUUUGUUAAGUCAGAUGUGAAAUCCCCGGGCUCAACCUGGGAACUGCAUUUGAAACUGGCAAGCUAGAGUCUCGUAGAGGGGGGUAGAAUUCCAGGUGUAGCGGUGAAAUGCGUAGAGAUCUGGAGGAAUACCGGUGGCGAAGGCGGCCCCCUGGACGAAGACUGACGCUCAGGUGCGAAAGCGUGGGGAGCAAAACAGGAUUAGAUACCCUGGUAGUCCACGCUGUAAAACGAUGUCGAUUUUGGAGGUUGUGCCCUUGAGGCGUGGUUUUUCCGGGAGCCUAACGCGUUAAAUCGACCGCCUGGGGGAGUACGGCCGCAAGGUUAAAAACUCAAAAUGAAUUGACGGGGUCAUAGCUG
rnacentral:rRNA from 1 species